rnacentral:rRNA from 1 species
ACCCUACGGGAGGCAGCAGUGAGGAAUAUUGGUCAAUGGGCGGGAGCCUGAACCAGCCAUGCCGCGUGAAGGCGAGUGCCCUACGGGCGUUAAACUUCUUUUGUGCGGGAGCAAUAAGGGCCACGUGUGGCCCGAUGAGAGUACCGCAAGAAUAAGCAUCGGCUAACUCCGUGCCAGCAGCCGCGGUAAUACGGGGGAUGCGAGCGUUAUCCGGAUUUAUUGGGUUUAAAGGGUGCGUAGGCGGAAGGUUAAGUCAGCGGUCAAAUGUCGGUGCUCAACACCGGCCUGCCGUUGAAACUGGUCUU